GAACUUAUUUGUGAUAAAAUUUGUCAAAUUUUUGUAGUCAAAAUCAUCAUGUCGUCGCUUAAAAGGUCUUCAAUACUGACGAUUCUAAUUUGUCACUAAUUAUAAUUUAAUUAGAGAUGAUAUUAAUUAUCGUUAAAUUUAUACAUAAUUUGUAGCUAAAGUACGCAACCGUGUCGCUAAUUGAUUAUGCUUUAUGUACAAA
rnacentral:lncRNA from 1 species